rnacentral:rRNA from 1 species
CUGGAGGUAUCAGAAGUGCGAAUGCUGACAUAAGUAACGAUAAAGCGGGUGAAAAGCCCGCUCGCCGGAAGACCAAGGGUUCCUGUCCAACGUUAAUCGGGGCAGGGUGAGUCGACCCCUAAGGCGAGGCCGAAAGGCGUAGUCGAUGGGAAACAGGUUAAUAUUCCUGUACUUGGUGUUACUGCGAAGGGGGGACGGAGAAGGCUAUGUUGGCCGGGCGACGGUUGUCCCGGUUUAAGCGUGUAGGCUGGUUUUCCAGGCAAAUCCGGAAAAUCAAGGCUGAGGCGUGAUGACGAGGCACUACGGUGCUGAAGCAACAAAUGCCCUGCUUCCAGGAAAAGCCUCUAAGCAUCAGGUAACAUCAAAUCGUACCCCAAACCGACACAGGUGGUCAGGUAGAGAAUACCAAGGCGCUUGAGAGAACUCGGGUGAAGGAACUAGGCAAAAUGGUGCCGUAACUUCGGGAGAAGGCACGCUGAUAUGUAGGUGAAGUCCCUCGCGGAUGGAGCUGAAAUCAGUCGAAGAUACCAGCUGGCUGCAACUGUUUAUUAAAAACACAGCACUGUGCAAACACGAAAGUGGACGUAUACGGUGUGACGCCUGCCCGGUGCCGGAAGGUUAAUUGAUGGGGUCAGCGCAAGCGAAGCUCUUGAUCGAAGCCCCGGUAAACGGCGGCCGUAACUAUAACGGUCCUAAGGUAGCGAAAUUCCUUGUCGGGUAAGUUCCGACCUGCACGAAUGGCGUAAUGAUGGCCAGGCUGUCUCCACCCGAGACUCAGUGAAAUUGAACUCGCUGUGAAGAUGCAGUGUACCCGCGGCAAGACGGAAAGACCCCGUGAACCUUUACUAUAGCUUGACACUGAACAUUGAGCCUUGAUGUGUAGGAUAGGUGGGAGGCUUUGAAGUGUGGACGCCAGUCUGCAUGGAGCCGACCUUGAAAUACCACCCUUUAAUGUUUGAUGUUCUAACGUUGACCCGUAAUCCGGGUUGCGGACAGUGUCUGGUGGGUAGUUUGACUGGGGCGGUCUCCUCCUAAAGAGUAACGGAGGAGCACGAAGGUUGGCUAAUCCUGGUCGGACAUCAGGAGGUUAGUGCAAUGGCAUAAGCCAGCUUGACUGCGAGCGUGACGGCGCGAGCAGGUGCGAAAGCAGGUCAUAGUGAUCCGGUGGUUCUGAAUGGAAGGGCCAUCGCUCAACGGAUAAAAGGUACUCCGGGGAUAACAGGCUGAUACCGCCCAAGAGUUCAUAUCGACGGCGGUGUUUGGCACCUCGAUGUCGGCUCAUCACAUCCUGGGGCUGAAGUAGGUCCCAAGGGUAUGGCUGUUCGCCAUUUAAAGUGGUACGCGAGCUGGGUUUAGAACGUCGUGAGACAGUUCGGUCCCUA